AAGUCGUAACAAGGUUUCCGUAGGUGAACCUGCGGAAGGAUCAUUACCAAAAAUAUUAAUCCAUCAAACCCAUGUGCACCGUGACUGUUUUGUCCUUGGGGUGGUGUCUAUGAUAUGAGUAGAUUUCUGCCCCACUCGUUUAAUUAAAUUACUUUUUGAAUUAUCAUGGCAUGUCUAUUGUUUUUAAUAAUUAUAACAAUGACAACUUUUAACGGUGGAUCUCUUGGCUCGUG
rnacentral:misc_RNA from 1 species